UAAGAUAAAUGUAUAAUUAUUAUUGAAUCAAAUUAUUUGAUUUAAAUGCAAAUAUAAAUAUAGAAAUCAAAGUAACUAAAGGAUAUAUGACAGUCUUACUUAACAACAGCAAAGUAUUCUAUUCAUCAAGCACUUGCUUUUUUUUUUUGUAAAUAUACAAUGCUAUUAAAAUUGUAUUAAUUUUCGUACAAAGAAUUAUUUUACUUAUAUAUAUACGUGCAAAUAAAUAUUUAAAUAAAAUAAAAUAAAUGGGGAAGAUAUAUAAAACGUUCUCUGUAAUGUUUCGAUCAAAAAUUCUCUCAUCGCAUACUUGUUUUUUCAAAAAUAUAGAUACAUUUUAUUGAAUGCCAUACUUUUUCGAUGUAAUUUUAUUCUAUUCAUCAUAAGUAAGAAAAAUACACGAAAAGAAUAAAAUGAAAAGUAUAAGUUUCGUGAAGAAAAAAUGGUCUUUGUGAAAUAAAGGAAAGGUUGAAUUCAAUAUUUAAGGUAUAAAAAUGACAUAUAACAUAUUAGGGAACGUAUGUGCGUAUAGAAGCAACGUCGAAGGUCUAGAACGUAAUAGAUUUAUGGAGGCAUUAUUUCUAUAAUCAAUCUUCAAACACGAUACUAAUAUGAAAGGACAAACUUUGUCGAUACGUGUACUCAGUUCGGCCCGAUUUAUCGGCUGGCAUCGCUCUCGACGUCGAAUAUUUUCUGGGUAUAACAUGUUCCAGACCAAACACGGUGUAAAAGAAGAAUUGAGUUUGAGACAGUUGAAGAGGACGAACGAUGAAGGACGACGACGACGACGACGACGAAGAAGAAGAAGAUACGUGGUCUCGAUUUAACAACGAAGGAAGAAUGAUGCAUCGACUUUUAUUCUCAUUGACAAGAUCAACGAAAUAAUGUUUAUUGAGAGAUCAGAAGACGAUAGCUGACCAGAGAGCGAGCGAGACGGAGUAAAAGAUGCCAGGGGGUGCCUACGCUACCGCUCUCCUACGAGGAUCCUCACGCAGGAGGAAACUUUGGUCUCUCGGGUCAAAUGGCUCACAACUGCGCCUAGGCUUUGAUAAAGGCAACGGCUGAAGUGGGAUUUUUAUUAUACCAUACGGAACUUUUGUCCUCUCCGUUGUCGUCGUCUUCGUCCUCGUCGUCGUGCUGCUGCCACUGCUGCUAUUGCUGCUAAGACUGGAAAGAGAAACGGAAAAAAGAAUUAGAAAGAAAUGGAAUGAUACGAAUAUUAUCUCGGACGAAUUACUCUCGGGUUUAACGCGUCGAGACUCUGAUGCUUGAUGAAAUUGCUUGAACAUUAUUCUUUUACGAUCUUCUUCCUCGAAGAUCAGAUAAAUAAAUAUUAUUACUUACUCGA
rnacentral:lncRNA from 1 species